ensembl:lncRNA
UGGAAAGAACACAUGACAGCAGACAUGCAUUAUUAUGCCUUAUACAGAAAAAAAACAUUUUUGAAUGACUAUCUAAUUUUCUUUGGCAAUUGGGAUUGUUAUUAAAAUCUAGGUAGGUUUUGCAUUUUCUUCAGAUUCACACUGUAUCUCCAUGUUUAUUAGAAGCAAGAAAGUGAUCUCUGGACUUAACAGCAUCUGCCUAACAUACUUCUGCAUAUGAAUCAGUGAUCUCUGAGAGCUCACUGUUGUUCCACAUACCCUAAAAUAUCACCUACAUACUCUUUCCACACCUGAAAGUUGUGAGUCUUACGCAGCUCAUUGGCAAAUUGUUUAUGUAAUGGAAAGUUCCGUUUCAGCUACUACAAGACACAUGCGCAGUCACAGGGAAUGGUAACAGCCAGCUGAUUCACUGCAAAAUGUGCCAGUGCAGAGCCUGAAGCACAUUUUAGUACUUUUAUAGCUCCACCAAAGAUAAACAGAUCAUCACACAACUUUAGAUAAGCACACAAUGAUCUGCAUUUAGGAGAUGCGCUUGGUGGCGGUGACAUCCCAAGACAACCGUUAUACCCACCUCUUCCGCCGCGACCAGGAAGCCAUAGUAAUACUGGUAAGAAUAUUUUCUCCUCAGAAAAUCUAGCACUAGGAACUGUUCAGAGAAGUUAUUUUGAACACUUUACUCUCUUAUUUCUUCAUGUUAUUCAUAUAUUCAUAUUCUUCAUUAAUUAUUUAUAUUUUUUUUUAUCAUCCCUUCCUGAUAUUUCCCUUUUAUUUUUCUUCUUCUUCUUCUUCUUCUUCCUCUUCCUCUUCUUCCUCUUCUUCUUCUUCUUCUUCUUCCUUUUCUUCUUCUACUUCUUCUUCUUCCUCUUCUUCUUCCUCUUCCUCUUCUUCCUCUUCUUCUUCUUCUUCUUCUUCUUCUUCUUCUUCUUCUUCUUCUUCUUCCUCUUCUUCUUCUUCUUCUUCGUCUUCUUCUUCUUCUUCUUAUUAUUAUUAUUAUUUUCACUAUUCUUGACCCAGUGUUUGGAAAGAUUUUCUGAGAUUUUGUUCUGGCACUAUAAGACUUUUCUGCCUCCCCUCCCAAAUCAAAGGACAUUGACUUCUAACUGGCAUGAGACUAAUAUUUAUCUUGUUGCUCCUUUUAUUUUGGGUAUGUAUACACAGAACCGUGCUAAGGUUCAAAUUUGACAUCUGUCUACAUGAAGUGGAUAAGGCUAUGUACAAAUCCAUACUGAGAGAUGGGUCUGAGAAGGCUCUAGGGUAUACAGCAGGUGGGACAGGGGAUAUGGAUUUAAGAUUCCUUUCAACUGUUAUCCCAGACAUACACUUAAAUACAAUGGAGGUGAUACAUCUAUCCUAGCUAUUGCCAUGUAUCUCAUGUUUACUUCUGGUAUGACUGUAGUGAUGCUCUGUGGAUAUGCCCUUCUGGAGCCCUUCCUAGAAGGGACCCACUGAUUUCCUGCUACAAGAGCUGCUGGGAUUUGAGUUGUCCUUACUAUAUUAGGAUCCAUUCUAUUGAAGCUCCAGGUUCUCACAUCCCAUGAGUGUUUACUUCUAUGAAUAGAACUGGGCCAGUUAAUGAGUGGGGCUUUUGCAUAUUGUAUUUAGGACCCUAAAGUGGCUCCAAGAUUCGGACUCACUCCAAAUACAGAACAAAUUUAACAUAUUUACAGACAUACAUGUCUUCAUGCUCAGAAUGGGUAGACAACAACAGUACUUUAGCUUCCAGUGAAUGUAAAUGGGUAACUGCUUCUGUAAGACAGCUGCCAUACGGACACCGGGAUUUCAAAGGUCCCUCACCUUUCCCCAGAACUAUUAAAAAAAAGGCAGAGAAUGGAACUGAAGAGGUUACCACUGUUCAGAUAAUUUUGCAACAGAAGUCCUAAUUUUUAUCUUGCAGGAGGAUUUAACGACUACGAUCUUGUUGAUGGGAAGCCUUUACCACCACACAUGGCUGGUAGUAUUUGAUGAUUCCCGUUGCAUUUUCUUGUUAAUAUUUAUAAAUCAGAGCUGACUGGUUUUGCUUUAGCACAGAUGUUUAUUACUGAAGGUGUAGGAUAAGACUCUGCUAUUUUUAUUUUGACUAGUCAUCUUUCUCCAUGGCUUUUAGCACAAAGCUUUAGCUCCUUUGAAACAUAUCCCUAAAGACCUUGCAAUGUUAAGCCAGAACCUUGCAG